GGAAGGGUGCUGGAGCGGUCGAACAGGCACGCCUGGAGAGCGUGUGUACCUUCGUGGUACCGUGGGUUCAAAUCCCACCCCUUCCGCCA
rnacentral:tRNA from 1 species